GAUGAACGCUGGCGGCGUGCCUAAUACAUGCAAGUCGAGCGAACAGACGAGGAGCUUGCUCCUCUGACGUUAGCGGCGGACGGGUGAGUAACACGUGGAUAACCUACCUAUAAGACUGGUAUAACUUCGGGACACCGGAGCUAAUACCGGAUAAUAUAUUGAACCGCAUGGUUCAAUAGUGAAAGACGGUUUUGCUGUCACUUAUAGAUGGAUACGGGCCGUAUUAGCUGGUUGGUAAGGUAACGGCUUACCAAGGCUACGAUGCGUAGCCGACCUGAGAGGGUGAUAGGCCACCCGGGAACUGAGACGCGGUCCAGACUCCUACGGGAGGCAGCAGUAGGGAAUCGUCCGCAAUGGGCGAAAGCCUGACGGAGCAACGCCGCGUGAGUGAUGAAGGUCUUCGGAGCGUAAUACUCUGUUAUUAGGGAAGAACAAAUGUGUAAGUAACUAUGCACGUCUUGACGGUACCUAAUCAGAAAGCCACGGCUAACUACGUG
rnacentral:rRNA from 1 species